rnacentral:rRNA from 1 species
GACGAACGCGGGCGGCGUGCCUAAUACAUGCAAGUAGAACGCUGAAGGAGGAGCUUGCUCUUCUGGAUGAGUUGCGAACGGGUGAGUAACGCGUAGGUAACCUGCCUGGUAGCGGGGGAUAACUAUUGGAAACGAUAGCUAAUACCGCAUAAUAUUGACUAUUGCAUGAUAGUCAAUUGAAAGGUGCAAAUGCACCACUACCAGAUGGACCUGCGUUGUAUUAGCUAGUUGGUGGGGUAACGGCUCACCAAGGCGACGAUACAUAGCCGACCUGAGAGGGUGAUCGGCCACACUGGGACUGAGACACGGCCCAGACUCCUACGGGAGGCAGCAGUAGGGAAUCUUCGGCAAUGGACGGAAGUCUGACCGAGCAACGCCGCGUGAGUGAAGAAGGUUUUCGGGUCGUAAAGCUCUGUUGUAAGAGAACGAACCGAGUGUGAGAGUGGAA